rnacentral:rRNA from 1 species
UCCGUAGGUGAACCUGCGGAGGGAUCAUUACCGAGUUUACAACUCCCAAACCCCUGUGAACAUACCACUUGUUGCCUCGGCGGAUCAGCCCGCUCCCGGUAAAACGGGACGGCCCGCCAGAGGACCCCUAAAACUCUGUUUCUAUAUGUAACUUCUGAGUAAAACCAUAAAUAAAUCAAAACUUUCAACAACGGAUCUCUUGGUUCUGGCAUCGAUGAAGAACGCAGCAAAAUGCGAUAAGUAAUGUGAAUUGCAGAAUUCAGUGAAUCAUCGAAUCUUUGAACGCACAUUGCGCCCGCCAGUAUUCUGGCGGGCAUGCCUGUUCGAGCGUCAUUUCAACCCUCAAGCACAGCUUGGUGUUGGGACUCGCGUUAAUUCGCGUUCCUCAAAUUGAUUGGCGGUCACGUCGAGCUUCCAUGGCGUAGUAGUAAAACCCUCGUUACUGGUAAUCGUCGCGGCCACGCCGUUAAACCCCAACUUCUGAAUGUUGACCUCGGAUCAGGUAGGAAUACCCGCUGAACUUAAGCAUAUCAAUAAGCGGAGGA